rnacentral:rRNA from 1 species
GCCCCACCCACCUAGAGGAGCCUGUUCUAUAAUCGAUAACCCCCGCUUAACCUCACCACUUCUUGCCAAUACCGCCUAUAUACCACCGUCGCCAGCCCACCCCGUGAGGGAAAUAGUAGGCACAAUGAUAAGUCACCAAAACGUCAGGUCAAGGUGUAGCGUAUGAAGUGGAAAGAAAUGGGCUACAUUCUCUAACCUAGAGCACACGAAAAAUCAUAUGAAAUUAGAUUAGAAGGAGGAUUUAGUAGUAAAAAGAAACAAUAGUGUUCUUUUUAAGUUGGCCCUGGGGCGCGCACACACCGCCCGUCACCCUCUUCAACUAAUAAAACACGAUUUAUAAAACACGAAACAAACACAAGAAGAGGUAAGUCGUAACAUGGUAAGUAUACCGGAAGGUGUGCUUGGAAUUA